AUUAUGUAACAUAGAGAUUGCGUGGUAUAAUUUCGAAUUAAUUCAGUCACUGGUAAUUCGAAGAAUUUGACUAUUUUUGUUGGCACCACAUUAUUAAAAAAGUAAAAUAAAUUUCGUAAAAUAUGUUGGCACGCAAUUCGACUUCCUGUCAAUGUUUUGUAAUUAUUAACAAUCUGUUUAUUUAUAUGAACUGACAAUUCGAUUGUUAGUUCGGAAAUGUUUAACGUUAUAUAACUAAACGUGGAAUUAAUUUUAUAAUAAUAGUAUCAGAUGUGUGUAAUCGUGACUAUCAUUGUAUGUGUUAAGUUUCUAAUAAUUACAUAUUUAAGGCUUUGUAAUUUUUACUACUGGAGACUUCAGUUUUUAAAAAAGGACAGAGACUAAUAAUUCACAUUCACAUCGAUAGUGAAGACGGUUACCUGCCAGAUGCUUUACAGCUAUAAUUUCAAUUUUGUAUUAAGGUCAAUAACGGACAAGUUGAAAUUGAAGUCUACAUCGCGAAAUUUACGACUCUAAUUUACUAAAGUGUAUUUUUUAUUAUCUUAUCUUUCAUAAGACAAAUGGGAGUUAAUUGUUGUAAGACGAAAAACAAAUUAUAUUAUACAAUAUGAUGAUCAAUCCAAUUCAUCUUUGGUUUUCUGGAGAUGAUCAGUAUGAAAUUACCGACGAAGAAAUAGUCACAAUGAAGGACCUGAUACUGUUGAGCCCCAUAAAGUAGCACGCAAAGAAGGGGUACAAAUUUAUGAAGCAGCCAUUAGAUACGCUGAACAGCAAUAAGAAGUCAGAGAUGGUGAGACUUGGCAGCAAAGAAGCGGAAUACAUCAGGACAGCGAACAAAAAUCUUCUAAAUUAUCUAUACAUACCAUAAAUAAAUAUCAUUAAAUUGAUUCUUAAGGUUAUUUCAGUACUUUAUAUACCAUGAUUGAGAUUUACAAUACUGUAUGUAAUUUCUAAAUCUAUAGCGUAUA